rnacentral:rRNA from 1 species
UUGGGCAAGUCUGGUGCCAGCAGCCGCGGUAAUUCCAGCUCCAAUAGCGUAUAUUAAAGUUGUUGCCGUUAAAAAGCUCGUAGUUGAACCUUGGACCUGGCUGAUCUGUCCUCCUAAUCGAGCGCACGGAUUCGGUCGGGUCUUUCCUUCUGGGGAGCCCUAUGCCCUUCACUGGGUGUAGUGGGGAACCAGGACUUUUACCUUGAAAAAAUUAGAGUGUUCAAAGCAGGCCUUUGCUCGAAUACAUUAGCAUGGAAUAAUAGAAUAGGACAUCGGUUCUAUUUUGUUGGUUUCUAGGACCGCUGUAAUGAUUAAUAGGGAUAGUCGGGGGCGUCAGUAUUCAAUUGUCAGAGGUGAAAUUCUUGGAUUUAUUGAAGACUAACUACUGCGAAAGCAUUCGCCAAGGAUGUUUUCAUUAAUCAGUGAACGAAAGUUAGGGGAUCGAAGACGAUCAGAUACCGUCGUAGUCUUAACCAUAAACUAUGCCGACUAGGGAUCGGACGGUGGUUUUUUUAUGCCCCGUUCGGCGCCUUACGGGAAAC